CCACAUUGUGUCAAUGUGCUUUAUAUUUAACUUUCCUAUGUUUUUGUUUUAUUCAACGUCUGUGCGUAUGAAAUCAACGCUCUCUGAGUCGUAAGCGACGGUAUAAUUCAUCACAGAAGGCAGGACCAUUGCGAACCAUCGGUCACCAGGAACCAGGAAAUCAGACACGACUGGGAAGUCGUCCGGACCCCACGGAGUCGGGUCAUUCAUUGGAGGGGACGCUUCAACUGUUCGACGACGGUCAGUCAGAGGCCGGAGGAGUAGUGUGUUCACUCGACGAUCCGUUCACUCACCAGACACCACAACCGAUAAGAGAUACAAAGACGAGUACAUCGCUCCCUCUACCUGUCACUUCAUCGCCUUCUCCAAUGUUUGCUCUCCCUCCUGGGUCUUGGCCUUUGUGGGAGACAUCGACACAGGUUUCUACGGUACCACUGGGUCUACUAUCUGGAUCGUUCCCUGCCGAGGACUCGACAUCAGCAUCCGGCCACCCCACACCUCCUCCACCACCACCACCGUCAACAUCACCAACACCAACAGUGGUCUCAGACACCCUCCGGACAGCACCUCGGAUACAGCCGGCGACUUACGUCGCAUCACCCCUCAACCAUCCCCGGACUCUACCGCCAGCCCCCGAGAGCUCUGUCACAUCGCCCCAAAACCGACCCCAGACACCACCAUCACAGACCCAAUUGGCAUUCUAUGCUACAACGACUGUAAAACAACAGCUCGAAUGCCGAGUACGUACGCUUGAACGUCGUCUAGCACUUCAAGCACGUAGAUAUCGACGGUUGACGAGAAAUCUACGCGAAGAAAUCGUCAGGAAGGACAUCACAAAUAAAGCGCUGGUGUCUGAAAUCGUGAGGCUCCUAAAACUACAAGGACCUGGUGGUAGACGUCGUGGACUGACCUGAA